GAGAACAGUUUUUUCCAUCAACAAUCAUAGUCAAUGCUUUAAAGUCCAAAAAACUCCAGAAGAUCUCACAUAAGAACAGCUUACACUGUAAAACAGAUUUCACUCAAUCAUAAACAAGCUACAUUGGAGAUAUCACCUACGAGAUUGUUAUAAAAAGCGGAAAAAAAAUUCACUAUACAAAUACACUACCAAUGAGAGAUUAGCAAAGAGAAAUUCAUAGUCCAAAUCUUGAAUGUUCCGUCAAGUAUGCAAAAAGGAUGUUUAAACUUCCCCUAUAAGCACAGUCUUAUAAAUUUAACAAAGGAUUUGAAUCAGUUAUUCAACGACCAAAGUAUCAAAAUCAAUCAAUGUAACAGAAAUAACUAGUUAAUGUAUUAUAUUAUUAUGUAUAUUACCUCCUUGAGUGCAAUAUAACAACAUCUUUCUUUCUUACUUUAGCUUCUCCAAACCAAAGAAAUUAGUGCAUCAGUAACAGCAAGCACCAAGCACUAGAUAGUGUGUGUGUGUGAUGAUGAUGAAAGGAAAAAGAUACAAUUGAUCUUCACAUAAUAAACCACUAGCAGAUAACUGAAUCCUGACCAUUCACUAUGAACUAUAUGGUACAAUUUAUGUUAGCAAAGGGGUCCAAUAAUUCCAUUCAUUUUUCCUCGCUCAACCUAAUCUCAACCACAUCAUAAAGUAUAUUUUAUCAUGGCCUAUCUAUAUAUCCUACAUGA
rnacentral:lncRNA from 1 species